CCAAAAAGUAGAAAAGUAGAGAAUUACAAUGGUCUAAACGAGAUGUGACCAAACUGUGGACCAGAACAGCAGUGGAGUGYGGAGUGAGAGAAGGACGGAGACGGCGAAUAUUUCGGAGAUGAAAAUAAGCUGACCGAGUGAUAUUAUUGACAUGGGAGGCAAAAGAGAGGGUGCUAUYGAGGAUGACACCCAGACUCUUAACCUGAGGGGAGGGAAAAAUGGAGGAGUUAUCAACUGAAAUGGAGAAAUUAUCAAGUUUACUUAGUAUUGAAUUAGUACCAAUUAAGAGAAGUUCAGUUUUACUGGAAUUUAAUUUGAGGAAGUCAAGAGUAAACCAUUGUUUUAUUUCAAGAAGACAGUCAGUGAGGGAGGAAAAUGGAAGCAUGGAAUUAGGUUUGGUUGAAACAUAGAGUUGGGUGUCAUCCGCGUAGCAGUGAAACUGGAUGUUAUGUUUGC